rnacentral:rRNA from 1 species
AGCAGGCGCGAAACCUUCACAAUGUGCGAAAGCGCGAUGAGGGAAUCCCAAGUGCUUGCUCGUCAGAGUAAGCUGUUUUUUUGUUUAAAAAGCAAAAAGAGAAAGGGCUGGGUAAGACGGGUGCCAGCCGCCGCGGUAAUACCUGCAGCUCAAGUGGUGACCGCUAUUAUUGGGCCUAAAACAUCCGUAGCCGGCUGAGUAAAUGCUUGGGUAAAUCGUGUAGCUUAACUAUACGAAUUCCGAGUAGACUGCUCAGCUUGAGACCGGGAGAAGCUAGAGGUACUCCUGGGGUAGAGGUGAAAUUCUGUAAUCCUGGGGGGACCACCAGUGGCGAAGGCGUCUAGCUAGAACGGGUCUGACGGUGAGGGAUGAAACCCUGGGGCGCAAACCGGAUUAGAUACCCGGGUAGUCCAGGGCGCAAACGCUGUUUGCUUGAUGUUAGCUGGGCUCCGAGCUCAGCUAGUGUCGGAGAGAAGUUGUUAAGCAAGCUGCCUGGGAAGUACGAUCGCAAGA